rnacentral:rRNA from 1 species
AUCAUUUGUCUUUUAAUUGAAGGCUGGAAUGAAUGGUUGAACAAAAAAUAGUCUGUCUCGUUGUUAAAAUUAAAAUUUGACUUUUAAGUAAAAAGGCUUAAAUAAUAUAGAAUGACGAUAAGACCCUAUAAAGCUUUAUAUUUAAAAAAUGAUUAAUAAUGGAAAUUUAAAAAUUAUUUAUUUAGAAAAUAUUAUGUUGGGGCGACAAAAAUAAAAAUUGUAACUGUUUAUUUAUUAAAAACUUGUAAUAAAAGAAAAAAUGAUCCUUUAAUAAAGAUUAAAAGAUUAAGUUACUUUAGGGAUAACAGCGUAAUCUUUUUUAAGAGUUCAUAUC